CCAGCUUGCUGGAUGCUGACGAGCGGCGGACGGGUGAGUAAUGCAUAGGAAUCUGCCCGAUAGUGGGGGAUAACCUGGGGAAACCCAGGCUAAUACCGCAUACGUCCUACGGGAGAAAGCAGGGGAUCUUCNGACCUUGCGCUAUCGGAUGAGCCUAUGUCGGAUUAGCUUGUUGGNGAGGUAAUGGCUCACCAAGGCGACNAUCCGUAGCUGGUCUGAGAGGAUGAUCANCCACACUGGGACUGAGACAC
rnacentral:rRNA from 1 species